AUUCCUCUUUAUCCUAGAGGAGAUUGCUGCUAUGGGAGUCCGGCUUAGGCAUGCAAGUCUGACCGCAAGGUCGGCGAACUGCUCAUUAACACGUCGAUAACCUGCCCUUUACUGGAGAAUAAUCUUGGGAAACUGAGUGUAAUACUCCGUAAGAGAUUGGUGCUGGAAUGCUCUUUCUCUAAUAGCUUCGGCGGUAGAGGAUGGGUCGGCGGUGGAUUAGGUAGUUGGCGGUGUAAUGGACCACCAAGCCAAAGAUCCAUAGGGGCCAUGAGAGUGGGUGCCCCGAGAAGGAAACUGAGAAACUGUUCCUAGCCCUACGGGGUGCAGCAGCUGCGUGAACUUUCCAAUGCCCGCAAGGGUGAGAAGGGGACUCCUAGUGCUCAGUUCUACUGGGCUUUUGCCAAGAGCAAAAAUUUUGGCGAAUAAGUGGUGGGCAAGACUGGUGCCAGCCGCCGCGG
rnacentral:rRNA from 1 species